rnacentral:lncRNA from 1 species
UCGCGGCAGAGUAGAUUGAAGCUACAAGUCGUAUAUAAAGUUACAGUAGAGUGGAUCAAAGCAAUAAGAUGCAGUGGGCUCGAAUUAGGCUACUUGAAGAAGAGAAGCACCAAGAGAGGUCAAGACUCAGUGACACCAGGCAAAAUUGACCAUUUUUAAGUCUUUGCUCCAUUUUCGUUACACGACAAAGAACAAAGAGGGGCAACUGUAAUAAGCCAAUUUUGGCCUGGCCCAAUAUUAACCAAAUUAAAAAUAAACCAAUAAAAAUAAAAAAAAAUGGCAGUCCAAUAACAUGUCCAGAUUACAAAAGCCCAAAAUAAAAUAAAAACCAAUACAAUCCUAGACCCAACUAAAGCCCAGUUUGCAGCCCACAACACUAAAAAACAAUAGAAACCCCAGCCCAAUGCUGCCUCCAAUCUCCCUAGCGCGCCGCACCGCCACACGUCUACGCC